rnacentral:lncRNA from 1 species
CUUUUCCCCCUCUCUCUGGUCUUCUCCACGCCCUAGAACCAAGAAACCUAGGGUUUGUUGGCCGCCAACCCAAAAAGGAAAGAAAGGAACUAGCGCUAUCUCUUUUGUACGCCCCUGUUUUGAGUGCCCCCUCUUGGUCACCCAAGAGGAGUUUCAGGUCCUAAUUUUUUUGAUUUUAGAGGCUUCAUCAAGUGUGCUUCCAGGUUCCAAAAGGUGGAUUUCAGAUCUAAUGGAGAAG